UUAAAAGCCGAGUACUCUACCAUUGAGUUAGCAACCC
rnacentral:tRNA from 42 species